AUCACGCAUUCUCCAUUCCCAUCUCCUUCGCUGCUUUCCUUCUCAGCCACUUCUGCUUUUCAUUUUUUUCAUUCGACGAAGUUCGGUCUCCCUCAAAUUCUCUCUCUCUCUCUCUCCUCCGUGUAUUUCCCUCACGCCAGCAUCCCCAUCCCACCGUAAACCCCCAUUUCUUUCUCCACCUCACGCCCACGCAUCCGAGUCUCCAUCCUCCUCAGUCAACUCCAGCGCAUCUUGAAGACCAUCGACUUCUCCAUCGAGUUUUGUCGGCCACAGAAUCCAUCCACCACUGCAGCAACCGAUCAGCACUUCGGCCUCAAGAAGUUGACUCCGUUCCUCUCACCCGUGGCCACGUCUCGCCUCAAAUCGAAGACCAACCCUGCUCCACUGCUGAGUCUUCAUUUCCUUCGGUCUUCACGUCUGCCGCUUCAUUGGUUCCUUCGCUGUUGGUGUCUCCAUCUUACUGCGUGAGACCGACCGAAGCAGCACACGCCCGCGCAGCAACUCCACGCGGCCAACGUUCAGCUGUUCCUCGAGUCUUCCGUGUGUGCAGCCAACCGAAGCUUUUUCCGCUCGCCGAAGCAAGAUGCCAGCGAGCCGUUUCUCCAUCCAGCUCGGCCCAGAAACAGUCCACGAAAAUUUCAGCUCCUUCUUGGGUUCUUGUUCGGCCCAGCUCCUCCAACACAAGCCCAUCAGCCCACACGAAUCAAAAGCUAGUCCAUUUUCUGCCGCAGCCCAUCCACGAAGACAGCCCAAGUGAAAUUUAGAUUAUUUCAGCCCAAGAAAAAUUGCAGCAGCCCAAGUCUUUGGCCCAUCAACUCCAGCAGCCCACUUGAAGCCCAAGAAGCAGGCCCAAGCCCAAGUCUAAGCCCAGAAAUUUCUGUGGGUUGCAAGAUUUUGGGCCCAGUCCGAGUAUCCACCGACGCCGCCGAAAAGUUGGAUUUCGGCCGCCGUCGCGGUGAUCCAGUCUCCACUUUUAAUCAAAUAAUUGCCAGGUGGGGCCAUGAUGCCACCAAGUCGAGAAAAUUGCCAGGUUAGGCUGUGAUGCCAUCAAGUCAAGAAAAUUGCCAAGUGGGGCCGUGAUGCCACCAAGUCGAGAAAAUUGCCAGGUCCUUAGACAAUGUUCAUGGAGGACUUGAAGUCCUGGAGUUUGGGGAAGCGAAGGAAGCAGAAUCGGCAAAUCUGUUUGACUCGCUAGUCAUAGGACAGUACCUUUUUGAUUAAGCCGAUAAUUUUGUAAGCGACCUGAUGAUGUAAAUAAACUUAUGUGUUUAUAAAAAGUUGGUUUUGGUUUGAAAAA